rnacentral:tRNA from 1 species
AAACGUAUUAUGUAUGAGUAAUCUGUGUCGAUCUCAUAAA